AGAGUUUGAUCCUGGCUCAGGACGAACGCUGGCGGCGUGCUUAACACAUGCAAGUCGAGCGAGGCCCUCUUUCGGGGGGUGCCCUAGCGGCGAACGGGUGAGUAACACGUGGGCAACCUGCCCUCAGCUUCGGGAUAACUCCAAGAAAUUGGUGCUAAUCCGGAUGUGACCCUGACCGCAUGGUCUGGUGGUGGAAAGAUUCAUCGGCUGGGGAUGGGCCCGCGGCCUAUCAGCUUGUUGGUGGGGUAAUGGCCUACCAAGGCGACGACGGGUAGCCGGCCUGAGAGGGUGACCGNNCACACUGGGACUGAGACACGGCCCAGACUCCUACGGGAGGCAGCAGUGGGGAAUAUUGCGCAAUGGGCGGAAGCCUGACGCAGCGACGCCGCGUGAGGGAUGACGGCCUUCGGGUUGUAAACCUCUUUCAGUAGGGACGAAGCGGAAGUGACGGUACCUACAGAAGAAGCACCGGCCAACUACGUGCCAGCAGCCGCGGUAAUACGUAGGGUGCAAGCGUUGUCCGGAAUUAUUGGGCGUAAAGAGCUCGUAGGCGGUCUGUCACGUCGGCUGUGAAAACCCGAGGCUCAACCUCGGGCCUGCAGUCGAUACGGGCAAACUGGAGUACUGCAGGGGAGACUGGAAUUCCUGGUGUAGCGGUGAAAUGCGCAGAUAUCAGGAGGAACACCGGUGGCGAAGGCGGGUCUCUGGGCAGUAACUGACGCUGAGGAGCGAAAGCGUGGGGAGCGAACAGGAUUAGAUACCCUAGUAGUCC
rnacentral:rRNA from 1 species